UGAUAUUAGAUUGCUACUGAAACAGUAAUUGCUGGGCCCGUGAAAGUGAUGAGGACUUGCAAACACCCUAGCACUCGAAUAAGUAACAAUUUCAACAGAAGAUUUAAAAAAAAAAAGGUUACUGUUCAACAACAACAACCAUCUUAUACUCGAUGUAUGUCAUCACUUUAAACCCCAAGUAAGAUCAUGAGCAUGAGUAAAUUAGCCAAAAAAUUGUAGUCCAAUUUGAAUGGGAAAUUAGGAAUUGUGUCAGUGGUUUGUGCUGCUGCAGUGUUGUGCUUCCAAACAAAUUUGAGAUACUGGAGUUAAACGGGUAUCUCUCU
rnacentral:lncRNA from 1 species